GCGUAAUGGAUCUAGCUAAUUAGCUGGACUGUCGCCUGCCGGGUACCCUGCGCCUGCGGAAUGGAUCUAGCUUUCUUCGGUAGGUGGCUUUGUGCUCAACAGAGAAGCUCCCAACGCCAUUGACUUACUUCAAUCUUUCCCCAGCGCGAGCUGUGUUCGUUGGGCUGCUGGGCUGACCUCGCUGACGAUGCCACGACGGGAGGAGCAGCUCGCGUCUCCGGUCUCCAUCUUGUUGCGAUCUCGUUGGCUUCGUCUAGCUACCAAGGCGUCCUCCGCUUCGUAGCCAGCAAUGCUUCCUCCUUCACAGAUGUGUCCCAUGAAAGCUCCUGGUCCGGAUGGUUUUCGGACAAAAUUCUUUCAAUGCCAUUGGGAUAUAUGCAGCGAUUAAGUCACGAAGGUUGUCAUUCGAUUUUUUAAGGGUCCGAGAGUCCAAAGAUGAUAAGUAACAAUGUCCUCGUGCUUGUACCUGAGGCAUCCAACCUCUCCAGUUUAUCUCAAUUUCGUCCAAUUAAGUUGUGCAGUGUGGUAUAUAAUAUUAUCUCUAGGUUCUGGAAACCCGUCUCAAGAACAAUUCUUUCAGAAAUUAUAUUUGAGUAAUAGUAUGCUUUUGUACAUGUCUGCUUAGUUACUGACAAUAUCAUCUCUGCCUAUGAGUGCUUUAAUUUUAUGAGGGGAAACAAAGAGGAAAAACAUAGGUCAUGUGAUCCAAAGUUCCACAUGAGGAAGGCAUAUAACCAAGUGGGAUGGUCCCAUCUUCAGGCAAUUAUGAUCAAACUGACUUUUUGUGCUAUGGACCUCUAUGAUAAUGACCAUGGUGAGAUGUGUAUCCUUUUCGGUUAUGUUCAAUGGGAAUUAAUUGGAAGAAUUUAAACUAGCAAGAAGUAUAUGAUAAGGAUAUCCUCUUUCACCCUAUCUCCUUUUGCUGGCAGCUGAGGGCCUUUCUUUCCUUCUAAAAUCUAUUUACCAGUCAUCUCACCUUACUGGUAUUCAAAAGCAAGGGCUGCCCUCAAGUUAUGAGUGAUAUCUGGGAAAGCCAACUGAUGUUGGGAGAGCUAAGAAUUGUACAUUCAAGUACCUAAAGAAUAGAAUAUGGUAUAAGAUUCAUGGAUGACUAGAAAAAAUAUUGUUAGGUGGAGGCAAAGAGGUUUUAGUCAAGUUAGUUGUCAAGUUAUUCAAGUUUAUUCCAUGGGUUCUUUUAAACUCCGUUGAGGCUUGUGUGAACGCAUUGCUUAGGUCUCUUGGGGCAUGAUGAAUCGAUCAAAACAAUGGGAGGUUUGGGCAUUAGAGGUAUGGAAUUGUUUAACAUAGCACUCCUGGCUUGUCAAACAAGAAGGGUUUUACACGCACCGAAUUCAAUAAGUUUGAAAAUUUCGAAGGCGGUUUACUUCCCGAAAACCAUGAUUCCGGACGCCACAGUUGGGUCUCACCCUUCUGGGAUUUGGUGCUUGAUUUUGGAAGGAUGUGAUGUUUGAAUUAUAGGGCUAAUUAGAAAGAUCGAUGAUGGUUCGUCAACAGAAAUUUGGCGCCAGAACUGGCUGCCCCAGGGCGGAUCAAUGAGGCCUAUCAACACAAGCAAUGGCAAUAUAUCUCUGGUGAGCGAACUCAUUGACCGGAACCCAUGUCAUGGAGAGAGGAUUUGGUGCGUCACACCUUUUGAAUAUUAAUGCAACUAUUAAUCUUGGAAUAGCUUUGUACACAUGCCAGUUACCGGAUUUUUGGUCUUGGGCACAUCGGAAUAGGGGCUUAUUAAGUGUAAGGUCUACUUACCAGAACAAAAUUUAGCGGAGAGAGUUGUUAGGAUCAUCUUCUUCAAAUGCUAAAGAGAAGGAUUGGCCGAACUUACGGAACACUCUAGUUCCCUCAAGAUUUGAUUGUUCUUAUGUUGCUCGUCACUUCUUUCAGUAUCAACUUAUAAUAUUCCUUAAUACAGAACUACUUCCACCUCCACAAAUUGCUCUUUAUGUGGAGCAGGGGACUCUUGGAGACAUGCUCUCCUUGAGUGUUUCAUGUCAUGAUGUGUUACGAAUCUUGAAAAACAUGAGGUUGUCAAACACAUCAUUGGUACAACAGAGGGACAACCAAGAUAUUGGCUUUUUAGUCUCAAAGAAUCAUUACCGCAUGCAGAUUGUACAAUGGAAAGUGUGACGAGGUGGGUGUGCAGGGUGAUUCACGACAUGCCGUAUGGCGAUUCCCGAAAAUGUGUUCCAAUCUCCACUUCCUAAACUUUGAUGUAGUGGACCCCUUCGCCCCAUGGUUAAGUCAAGCUCAACGUUGAUGGGUUUAGGGUGCAGUGCCUUCUACCAGUGGUAGUGGGUGGCAAAUUUAACCUGCUCUAGUCCCUUGAUGAAAAAAAUCUCUUGUAAUAUUAAUGGUCCUCGUAUGCGUGUGUUUAAUGAUUGCAUUUUAGAUCUGAUGCUUACAGAUAUUACUACAGUUUGUUCCCGUUACACUCAGAUGAAUAACUAGGUGGACCAUAUUGUGAGUGUGCUAGAUGAGGGUCUGGUGUUGGUUGAGUGGCAACUAUGCUUCCCCCUCCGUGGCAUGAAAGUGGUCACU